GAGUGGCGGACGGGUGAGUAACACGUGGGCUAACCUGCCCUAAAGUGGGGGAUAACAUUUGGAAACAGAUGCUAAUACCGCAUAAAACCUAGCACCGCAUGGUGCAAGGUUGAAAGAUGGUUUCGGCUAUCACUUUAGGAUGGACCCGCGGUGCAUUANUUAGUUGGUGAGGUAAAGGCUCACCAAGACCGUGAUGCAUAGCCGACCUGAGAGGGUAAUCGGCCACACUGGGACUGAGACACGGCCCANACUCCUACGGGAGGCAGCAGUAGGGAAUCUUCCACAAUGGACGAAAGUCUGAUGGAGCAACGCCGCGUGAGUGAAGAAGGUUUUCGGAUCGUAAAACUCUGUUGUUGGAGAAGAACGUAUUUGAUAGUAACUGAUCAGGUAGUGACGGUAUCCAACCAGAAAGCCACGGCUAACUACGUGCCAGCAGCCGCGGUAAUACGUAGGUGGCAAGCGUUGUCCGGAUUUAUUGGGCGUAAAGCGAGCGCAGGCGGUUUCUUAAGUCUGAUGUGAAAGCCUUCGGCUCAACCGAAGAAGUGCAUCGGAAACUGGGAAACUUGAGUGCAGAAGAGGACAGUGGAACUCCAUGUGUAGCGGUGAAAUGCGUAGAUAUAUGGAAGAACACCAGUGGCGAAGGCGGCUGUCUGGUCUGUAACUGACGCUGAGGCUCGAAAGCAUGGGUAGCAAACAGGAUUAGAUACCCUGGUAGUCCAUGCCGUAAACGAUGAGUGCUAGGUGUUGGAGGGUUUCCGCCNUUCAGUGCCGCAGCUAACGCAUUAAGCACUCCGCCUGGGGAGUACGACCGCAAGGUUGAAACUCAAAGGAAUUGACGGGGGCCCGCACAAGCGGUGGAGCAUGUGGUUUAAUUCGAAGCAACGCGAAGAACCUUACCAGGUCUUGACAUCCUUUGACCACUCUAGAGAUAGAGCUUUCCCUUCGGGGACAAAGUGACAGGUGGUGCAUGGUUGUCGUCAGCUCGUGUCGUGAGAUGUUGGGUUAAGUCCCGCAACGAGCGCAACCCUUAUUACUAGUUGCCAGCAUUUAGUUGGGCACUCUAGUGAGACUGCCGGUGACAAACCGGAGGAAGGUGGGGACGACGUCAAAUCAUCAUGCCCCUUAUGACCUGGGCUACACACGUGCUACAAUGGAUGGUACAACGAGUCGCGAGACCGCGAGGUUUAGCUAAUCUCUUAAAACCAUUCUCAGUUCGGAUUGUAGGCUGCAACUCGCCUACAUGAAGCCGGAAUCGCUAGUAAUCGCGGAUCAGCAUGCCGCGGUGAAUACGUUCCCGGGCCUUGUACACACCGCCCGUCACACCAUGAGAGUUUGUAACACCCAAAGCCGG
rnacentral:rRNA from 1 species